GUGGGGCUGAACACAGCCUCCUGCUCUGGGUUGCCUGGAUUGCCUAACGGCUGUCAGCUCAUCCUCUCUGUGGUGGGGUCUGGUGUUGCCCGGAGAAGAAUCGCCCAGGCCGGUAACCAGGGCCUUUGAUCCUCAGAGUUGCUACUAUCAGUGCUUUCCCUCCUCUUGUUCUGUCUUUCUCCAAACUUUGAAGAUAAUGAGUCUUAAACAUUUGCAAGUAAUUAGAAGGUGUGGCUGCCAAAGAAAACUUUAAUUCACAGAUGGCAGAGGCGAAGGCGCUGUGUGUUUCAUGGAAAAAGAACAGGUGAUGAAAGGAUCAAAAAGACUACAGGGAGGCUGGCAGGUUAGGCCACUGCUUAUGAUGCGAGUACCCGUAUCUUAGUGCCAGUUCAAGUCCCUGCUGCUCCGCUUCUGAUCCAGCUUCUAGCUAAUAUGCCUGGGAAGGCAGUGGAAGAUGGCCCAAGAACUUGGGUCCCUGCCAUCCACGUGGGAGACUUGGCUGGAGUUCCUGGAUCCUUGCUUGGAGAGUGGUGCAGAUUGACCGCCAACUGUUUCAGAGAUACUUUACCUCCUGUGCUGCUGCCACAGCAUUUCAACUUUUUCUCCUAAAAUCACUUCCCUACGACAAAGCAAAGCUGAACAGUCCCUCCUGGGGAUGAGGAAGACUGAUAAUUUUUAUGACUAUACAUUCAAAAUGCCCUACAAAACACCAGCAAACCAAAGCCAAUAACAUAUAAAAAGGAUUAUGCAAAAUCCUGCUGCCAACAAUUUUAUUCAACAUUGGACUGGAACUUCUAGCCAGGGCAGCUAGGAAAGAAAACAAAAUAAAAAGCCUCUAACUUGGGGGCCAGCGUGGUGGUACAGCAGGUUGGCCUCAGCCUGAGACGCUGGCAUCCCUGAGGAGCACUGGUUCAAGUCCCGGGUGCCCUGCUUCUUCGUUCUCUUAACUGAGGAAAGAGAAAUGUUCACAUAGAAGAAAGAGCAUGUAGACUCACUUUCAGAAACUUCUUUUAAAGGAAAAAGUAACAUAGAAUUUCCUCAUUGAAGCAAAGAAGCAUUUUAAUAAGUGGACUCAAAGAAUAGAGCUACUCAGGUAACACCGCCACCUGCAGUGCCGGCAUCCCAUAUGGGUGCCAGUUCAAAUCCCGGCUGCUCCACUUCCAGUCCCACUCUCUGCUAUGGCCUGGGAAAGCAGUGGAAGAUAGCCCAAGUCCUUGGGCCCCUGUGCCUGUGUGGAGAGACACAGAGGAAGCUCCUGGCUUCUGGCUUUUGACCAGCGCAGCUCCAGCCAUUGCAGCCAUCUGGGGAGUGAACCAGCAAAUGGAAGACACCUCUGUCUCUCUCUCUACCUCUGCCUCUCUGUAACUCUGCCUUUCAAACAAAUAAAAAAUGUAUUAAAAAAAGAAUAGAACUACUACUAAUUAUAAAUUGACUAGCAGAAUAAUAUAUUUUUGUCAUUCUUCAAGGUGUAUGGAAUUUUGUAUUUUUAAAAAUAAAUCAAACUUUUAAAAAAAUCUCUUUUCUUUCAGCCUCUAACUGUACGAUUCAUGGGUUAGAUGCCACUAUCUAAAAGCUGAUUGCAGUUAAAAAAAAUAGUAGGUUGAAUUUCUGCCUACAUAUUUAAAUAUUUUCUUUUAUUUUCUGGACUGUAGCUUCUCUGCUGUGGAUUUUCACUGUUUCAGGAACUGAUAUCCCAGAUGGCUACGGCGAAGUUGCAGUAAUCAUCGAAGGGUUUUUAGGUCUUUAGUAACAAACAUUGGUAUCUGACUCUGACAGCAUUGUAAAGCAUUUUCCUGCUUCAUUCUUCUAGAGUUUGUUCAAUCCAAGAAAGAGAGUUCUCCUCUAACCAUGUGUUUUUCUCAACUGAAGAAGAUCUUUGUUUCAUUAGAAAGAAACCGAGUUUCUAAAAUUGCAAUUCUUGGCACCUAGCUCCAUGAGGUUGGAAUGACUUGAUUUUCAGGUCUGGUAAGUGUGAUCUGUCAUUUAGGCAAUGUAGACAAUGUCUGCCUUUCUGCAUUUGAAAUGAAAAAAAGGAAUUGCCAAGAUUCUGAAUGUAAUUCUGUCAAGUUUACAUACAUCCAUGUGUGUGUGUAACACAUGUGUAAAUCUGAUAGAUGUGAAAAAAUAGUCUAUUACCUUUGAGAUAUAUAGUUAUAUCUCCAUUUUUCUUGGUUUUUUUAGCUUUAUUUACGUACUUUGAAAGUCAGAGUUAGAGAGAGAAACAGCAAGAGAGCUCUUGCAGCUGCUGGUUCAUUCCCAAGACGGCUUCAACAACCAGCACUGGGCCAGGCCCAAGCCGGGAGCCUGGGCUUCAUCCAGGUCAAUGAAAACCUUGCUUUUCCAUCUUAAAAAAAGACUAUGCUCCGUAUUUAUCUAUGAUAGCACCAUCCAGUGAAAUACUUUCCUAGUGAAAUACCAGCAAGCAACCAAAUACCCAACCUGACUUCAUCUCUAAACCCUUCCGUUGGAGUUGAGACCCUUCCUGACUUGUUGGAGACAAGAGACUAGCGACUGCCACUGAGAAAUGGACAACAAGCCAUUCUGCAGAGAGCAGUGAGAGGAGACAACGCAUGUGUGCACAAAUGGGCAGGUAGGUAGGAUUUUUCAAGAAGGAAAUGAUAGAAAUAGCUCUAGAUGUUCUGUUUUUCUUCAGAAAGCUCAUAAAAAACAUCAUGAAAAAACAGUACAUGGACCUCAAUGUUUUACACCAAACUAAACUUACCUUCUAAUUCUGUUUUCCAUGAACUUUCAAAGCACCCUCAUAUUUUUUCUCAUGGAAUUAAAAACUACUUAUUCUGAGAACACUGCUACCAAAAAAAGUAUUCAAUGAUUAAGUAAUUAUCAACUAAUUCCAUAAAUGCCAGAAUCAAGACUAUCAGUCUCUCAAGUUCUUUCCAAUCUGACCCACCACAGAUCUCAAAACAUUAAGAUUUACCACUUUAGCCAUGACUCUCUUUACAUUCUUCUAGAAGAUACUGAAUGUUUGUCUUCAACUCAAUACACAUCUGAACAAGAGAAUCUACCACAAGAUAAGUGUC